rnacentral:lncRNA from 1 species
GUCUAUAACAACACAUAAGGCUGCCAACUGAAUUAGGAUCAAAGAAUUGUUGAGAUCUGCCUUAGAAUGUGCUUGAUGAUCAAAACAGUUCUUAGCUCACCCGUACAAGACUACGAAGGUCUUAAUAAAAUUAUCAUGGCUCCUUCAUGGAUACGAAAAUGCAAAACACAAGUGCUAGCAAAUUUUGCAGAUUCUUCCUUCAUCCAUAUGCCAAAACAUUCAUAAAUUGAAAAACAUGAUUUUAAGAAAAACUUGAAUAACAUUAUC